CCACUUGCUUGGUCCCACUGCAUUCCACCCCUCACAGGAGGGGGAGCACAGACUAUGGAAAUGAUGUUAGACAAAAAGCAAAUUUGAGCGAUUUUCUUAUUUGAGUUCAGAAUGGGUUGUAAAGCAGCAGAGACAACUUGCAACAUCUACAGUGCAUUUCGCCCAGGAACUGCUAACAAACGUAUAGAGCAGUGGUAGUUCAAGAAGUGUUGCAAAAGAGACAAGAGCCUUGAAGAUGAGGAGUAUGGUGGCUGGCCAUCGGAAGUUGACAACAACCAAUUGAAAGCUAUCAUAGAAGUUGAUCCUCUUACAACUACACGAGAAGUUGCCAAAGAACUCACCUUGACAUUUCUACAGUCAUUUUGCAUUUGAAGCAAAUUGGAAAGUUGAAAAAGCUAGAUAAGUGGGUGCCUCAUGAGCUGACCAAAAAUCCAAAAAACUUCAUUUUGAAGUGUCAUCCUCUCUUAUUCUAUGCAACAACAUGAACCAUUUCUCGAUUGGAUUGUGACGUGUGAUGAAAAGUGGAUUUUAUAUGACAACAAGUGAUGACCAGCUCAGUGCCUGGACCAAGAAGAAGUUCCAAAGUACUUUCCAAAGCCAAACUUGCACACAAAAAAAGCAUGGUCACUGUUUGGUGGUCUGCUGCUGGUCUGUUUUACUACAGAUUUUUUUUUUUUGAUGGAGUCUUGUUCUAUCAUCCAGGCUAAAUGGGCUUCCAAUGGAACCAAAAAAGAGCCUGCAUUUCCAAGACAAUCCUAAACCAAAAGAACAAAGCUGGAGGCAUCACGCUACCUGACUUCAAAUUAUACUACAAGGCUACAGUAACCAAAACAGAGAUAUAGACGAACAGAAC
rnacentral:lncRNA from 10 species